CCGGUACAGCAGCCGCUCCUCCGUCACCGCCACCUCCGCUCCACUGAACAUCAGUACCACCGCCGGCAACCCCUUCGGCGGCGCGCCGGAACCGGUUGGUAACCGGAAGCACAGGUCGAACGCCCCCUGGAAGACGAAGUCCGGUUCGUUCAGCACCGGCAGGACCCCCUUUGUCUGCCUUUGGAACUCUUGCUUCAGCGCGCUGUAGGCGUCGCCGAGGAGGAAGGUGAACUGCGUCCCCGAGUCGACCAUGGUCUGCCCCGCGCCGGUGUGGUCCGGGACGAGCGCCGACUUGGGGAUGGGGAGGAGCGUGCGGCCCACGCGGAUGCCCUCCAGUUGGACGGAGUAUGCAACCCGGUCGAAGUAAGGAAGGGGGAGAGCGAUUUGGACGAAGGGGGUGUAUUUGAGGGGGAGGAAGGACAGGGUGUCGUGGCCGAGGAGGAGGACGCCGGCGGCGUCGCGGUCGGAGAUGCAGUAGGAGAAGCGGCGGGUGGCGGUCUGGGAGACGAAGGAGAGGGCGCCCCUGUUCAUGCCGAGCAUGCCGGCGGCGUAGAGGUCACCGGUGGCGGAGGAGUAGGCUGACGUCAUGCAGCCAAAGACGGUGCGCAGGGGAGAUGACUCGCCGACGCGGAGGAGGUCGGAGGCGAGGGUGCCCUCCGAGGAGGAAGCGUCGGCGUAGGUGAGGGCGACGUGGCAGAGGCGAGUGGACUCCUCGCAGGUGGCCGGGAUGGGAAGGUCGCGCGUCCGGUCACGACACGUCGGGGAGGAGCAGGGAACGGGGGAGUAGGUGGAGGAGGCGCGAGGACGGAAGGACGGAAAUGCGGCGGUGGAGCCGCCGCAAAGGAGCCACGACAGCUCGCUGCCGGUGUCGAGCACCAGGGAGAGGUUCUGCGGCGGGCUCCCCACGGAGAGGGAGACGGUAAGGCUGACGUUGUGGUGGAACCGGAGCUUGUUGGGU
rnacentral:lncRNA from 1 species